GCUCACCCUGCAGGAAUCCCAGUGAAUAUAUUGCCACCAUCUUGGAGCUCAGUGCCCUCUUAGUGUAAUGGCACCAGCAGAUCUGCCUGUGCACGGACUUCCUGUACUACCUCACUCCUGAGGGGAGAUGCUUCUGCAGGGCCUAUGACCUGGUGCACAACUUUAGACACCAUCAUCCUGGAGCAGCACCUCACCCUCACUUGCCGGGGUGUUGAUGACUUCCUCAAGGCUAAGGCCACAUUCAAGAUUUUGGACUUCAGUGAUGCAUUUUUGCUGAGCAAGGUGGGCUUCUCCGGGAUUUUAGUUCAGGAGGUAGAAUGCAGCUUGAGAUCAAGUGUCUGAUCAAAUAACUUGAACUUGAUCUGGAGAGCUCUGGGGAGCCAUAGAAGUUGUUGGAUAAAGGAGGGACAGUCGUAUAUGUUUUAGAGAUGACUGUGGAAGGCUGCCUGGAAGGAGUGAACAAGAGCCAGGAGACCAGGGAGGGAGCUUGUGGGGCAGGUCUGGAGAUGACAAGGGAGGGAUCCUGCUUUGAUGAAAGGUCUUCAGGGAAUGUCUCAGGUUACACUCAGGUGUCCUCAGAGCUAGUGUGUUCAGGGGUCUUGCCUCCAGGAUGAAAAUGAGAAGGAGUUGUCAGACAAGAACAUAUAAAUGAAGGCUGGCAUCUUCGUGAGUGCCAAUCGUUGUCCUGGUGUGGACUACUGUGGGAAUAGGGGUCUCUCCAUCCAGGGACAUGGUGGAUGGACCCUACAUCACUCCAUUCUGCCCUUCCUUUCCCUCCCAUUCUGAGGGCCUCAGUGCAAGGGCGCUGUCCAACCUCUGGUGCUGAAGCAGCCGAGAGACCCAAGCCUGCCACUCAGGAUAUGACAGCACAGCCAGUGGCCUCUACUGGAUCCUGUACAACCUCAGAAGACACCUAGACACUGGGAGUGCUGCCACCACGUGGUGCAAGAGUUCUGAGGGACCGCAAUUCUGAAGACAUUGAAUGCUGCUUCCUGCUCCCUCCAUGGACCUGCACAGAAUUGUCCCAUGUUUCUGUUUGUUUGGGCACCACUGAGGAAGGAAGCAUGAAGGACGCAGAGCCAUUUUGCAAACCCUGGUCAGAAUGAAACAUUCCUUGGGAACUCGGGCCAUGAGAAGCAUCCUUCCUGACCACCUGACUGCGGAAACAUCCUUAUCGCAUCCUCCCGGGCGAAGGCCCAACAGCCUGACUGCAGGAACAUCCUUGCCAUAUCCUGCCGGGCAGCAAGCUCUACCGCCCAGACCCCUCCUUCCCAGUCCCAUGAUCGCCCCAGCCUGUGAGCGGCAGUUGGUGAUGGCACUAAGCUGAUUUCCUCCUCUGCAGGGUUUUGCUAGUAAUAAAGGUGUUGCUGUUGAAGCCACCAA
rnacentral:lncRNA from 1 species